ensembl:antisense Gm6288 predicted gene 6288
AGUGCUCCCCGCGCUGUUGCGCGUCACACCCGGCUCUCAGACACUGGCUCCGGGACACCGGCUACGCAACCACCCCCCUCCCGGUGACUGCUGGCCCAGGAACCCACGUUGGGGCAGCCCACACACCACCCGGCGUCCAGGACCUCCUCACCGGAAGUUGAUUUCUACCUAGGCCCGCCCAGGCCUGCGCGCGGCGCUCCAGGCAUCAGCGGGCGCAUCACAUGACCCCCCAAGAGGAGGCCAGCUGAGCUUCAUCUGAAGAGAGACCUGACCUGUGAAGUGGAUUGACCUGAUAUACACUGGCCUGACCAUCCUCAAAAACUACAUCAUGUCUUAUCUUUUGUCCUGAGCCAAAACAAACUAUUCAACAGAUAUUCCUCCUAACAGAGAUUCAGCUGGCUAGGCCACAAGAAGAACCUCCUAGUUGAGUGAUUCUCAGAACUCGAAUCUACCACGAGAAGAGCCUUUGCCUCUUACAAACAACCAAAAUGUGAGAACUGAAUAAAGCACCCGGCACUAUGACAUGCUCAAGAAAUGUUUGACGUGAUGUCUGGACCUAUUGGCUUAGCGGAACUCUCAAGUUCCUGAACGUGCCUAAGCUGAAAGCUUCUCUAAACCACUGGAUUUUAAAGAUCUUCAGCGCUAGGACUGUAGCACUUGUAAUCAACUCUAUCAUAGCAGUUCGUUCAUAUUCCACUAAAAACAGUUGAUUUUUAGCUGUUCCACAUCCUUACAGCAAAGCUGUCAGUCAACAUCUUUUCCUGAAGGGAA